CCUACGGGUGGCAGCAGUGAGGAAUCUUGGUCAAUGGCCGGAAGGCUGAACCAGCCAUGCCGCGUGAAGGUCAGUGCCCUAUGGGCGUUAAACUUCUUUUGUGCGGGAGCAAUAAUGGUCACGUGUGGCCAGACGAGAGUACCGUACGAAUAAGCAUCAGCUAACUCCGUUCCAGCAGCCGCGGUAAUACGGGGGAUGCAAGCGUUAUCCGGAUUUAUUGGGUUUAAAGGGUGCGUAGGCUGUGAGGUAAGUCAGCGGUGAAAUGCCCCCGCUCAACGGGGUGAAGUGCCAUUGAUACUGCCUGGCUGGAAUGCGGAUGCGGUGGGAGGAAUGUGUGGUGUAGCGGUGAAAUGCAUAGAUAUCACACGGAACACCGAUUGCGAAGGCAUCUCACGAAUCCGCGAUUGACGCUGAUGCACGAAAGCGUGGGUAUCAAACAGGAUUAGAUACCCUUGUAGUC
rnacentral:rRNA from 1 species